AGUGAACGCUGGCGGUAGGCCUAACACAUGCAAGUCGAACGGCAGCACAGUAAGAGCUUGCUCUUACGGGUGGCGAGUGGCGGACGGGUGAGGAAUAAAUCGGAAUCUACUUUUUCGUGGGGGAUAACGUAGGGAAACUUACGCUAAUACCGCAUACGACCUACGGGUGAAAGCAGGGGAUCUUCGGACCUUGCGCGAUUGAAUGAGCCGAUGUCGGAUUAGCUAGUUGGCGGGGUAAAGGCCCACCAAGGCGACGAUCCGUAGCUGGUCUGAGAGGAUGAUCAGCCACACUGGAACUGAGACACGGUCCAGACUCCUACGGGAGGCAGCAGUGGGGAAUAUUGGACAAUGGGCGCAAGCCUGAUCCAGCCAUACCGCGUGGGUGAAGAAGGCCUUCGGGUUUUAAAGCCCUUUUGUUGGGAAAGAAAAGCAGCAGGUUAAUACCCCGCUGUUCUGACGGUACCCAAAGAAUAAGCACCGGCUAACUUCGUG
rnacentral:rRNA from 1 species